rnacentral:rRNA from 1 species
GAUGAACGCUGGCGGCGUGCCUAAUACAUGCAAGUCGAGCGAACGGACGAGAAGCUUGCUUCUCUGAUGUUAGCGGCGGACGGGUGAGUAGCACGUGGAUAACCUACCUAUAAGACUGGGAUAACUUCGGGAAACCGGAGCUAAUACCGGAUAAUAUUUUGAACCGCAUGGUUCAAAAGUGAAAGACGGUCUUGCUGUCACUUAUAGAUGGAUCCGCGCUGCAUUAGCUAGUUGGUAAGGUAACGGCUUACCAAGGCAACGAUGCAUAGCCGACCUGAGAGGGGGAUCGGCCACACUGGAACUGAGACACGGUCCAGAGUCCUACGGGAGGCGGCAGAAGGGAAUCUUCCGCAAUGGGCGAAAGCCUGACGGAGCAACGCCGCGUGAGUGAUGAAGGUCUUCGGAUCGUAAAACUCUGUUAUUAGGGAAGAACAUAUGUGAAAGUAACUGUGCACAUCUGGACGGUAAAUAAUCAGAAAGCCACGGCUAACUACGUG